rnacentral:rRNA from 1 species
GAUGAACGCUGGCGGCGUGCCUAACACAUGCAAGUCGAGCGAACAGAUAAGGAGCUUGCUCCUUUGACGUUAGCGGCGGACGGGUGAGUUACACGUGUAUAACCUACCUAUAAGACUGGGAAAACUUCGGGAAACCGGAGCUAAUACCGGAUAACAUAUUGAACCGCAUGGUUCAAUAGUGAAAGGCGGCUUUGCUGUCACUUAUCGAUGGAUCCGCGCCGUAUUAGCUAGUUGGUAAGGUAACGGCUUACCAAGGCAACGAUACGUAGCCGACCUGAGAGGGUGAUCGGCCACACUGGAACUGAGACACGGUCCAGACUCCUACGGGAGGCAGCAGUAGGGAAUCUUCCGCAAUGGGCGAAAGCCUGACGGAGCAACGCCGAGUGAGUGAUGAAGGUCUUCGGAUCGUAAAACUCUGUUAUCAGGGAAGAACAAAUUUGUAAGUAACUGUGCACUUAUUGACGGUACCUGAUCAGAAAGCCCCGGCUAACUACGUG